GACGAACGCUGGCGGCGUGCUUAACACAUGCAAGUCGAACGAAGUGGCGAACGGGUGAGUAACGCGUAAUCAACCUGCCCUUCAGGGGGGGACAAAAGUGGGAAACGAAUGCUAAUACCGCAUACGGAAGGAGGAGAUUGCGUCGGAUUGGCUAGUGGGGGGGGUAACGGGCCACCAAGGCGAUGAUCAGUAGCCGGUCUGAUAGGAUGAACGGCCACAUUGGGACUGGGACACGGCCCAGACUCCUACGGGAGGCAGCAGUUGGGAAUCUUCCGCAAUGGACGAAAGUCUGACGGAGCAACGCCGCGUGAGUGAUGACGGCCUUCGGGUUGGAAAGCUAUGUUAAUCGGGACGCGGUACCGGAAUAGAAAGCCACGGCUAACUACGUGCCAGCAGCCGCGGUAAUUC
rnacentral:rRNA from 1 species